rnacentral:rRNA from 1 species
AUUGAACGCUGGCGGCAGGCCUAACACAUGCAAGUCGGACGGUAGCACAGAGGAGCUUGCUCCUCGGGUGACGAGUGGCGUACGGGUGAGUAAUGUCUGGGGAUCUGCCCGAUAGAGGGGGAUAACCACUGGAAACGGUGGCUAAUACCGCAUAACGUCGCAAGACCAAAGAGGGGGACCUUCGGGCCUCUCACUAUCGGAUGAACCCAGAUGGGAUUAGCUAGUAGGCGGGGUAACGGCCAACCUAGGCGACGAUCCCUAGCUGGUCUGAGCGGAUGACCGGCCACACUGGAACUGAGACACGGUCCAGAAUCCUACUGAAGGCAGCAGUGGGGAAUAUUGCACAAUGGGCGCAAGCCUGAGGCAGCCGCCGCGUGUAUGAAGAGGGCCUUCGGGUUGUAAAGUACUUUCAGCGGGGAGGAAGGCGAUAAGGUUAAUAACCUUGUCGAUUGACGUUACCCGCAGAAGAAGCACCGGCUAACUCCGUGCCAGCAGCCGCCGUAA